AUUGAACGCUGGCGGCAUGCUUUACACAUGCAAGUCGAACAGUAACAGGGAGCUUGCUCCGCUGACGAGUGGCGAACGGGUGAGUAAUGCAUCGGAACGUGCCGUGUAAUGGGGGAUAACGUAGCGAAAGUUACGCUAAUACCGCAUACGCCCUGAGGGGGAAAGUGGGGGACCGCAAGGCCUCACGUUAUACGAGCGGCCGAUGUCGGAUUAGCUAGUUGGUGGGGUAAAGGCCUACCAAGGCGACGAUCCGUAGCGGGUCUGAGAGGAUGAUCCGCCACACUGGGACUGAGACACGGCCCAGACUCCUACGGGAGGCAGCAGUGGGGAAUAUUGGACAAUGGGCGCAAGCCUGAUCCAGCAAUGCCGCGUGUGUGAAGAAGGCCUGCGGGUUGUAAAGCACUUUCAGUUGGGAAGAUGAUGACGUUACCAACAGAAGAAGCACCGGCUAACUCCGUGCCAGCAGCCGCGGUAAU
rnacentral:rRNA from 1 species